rnacentral:lncRNA from 1 species
GUUAUUGGACCGAUACGAGCUUGAAUGAUACUUGAGAAAAGUUUCUCCCACCUAAGGAUGUAAGCAAUACUUGUGUUAUUUUAUGCUUAUAUACUUAUUUGAUAUUUUAUCUUGAAAGGUAACCAAAUGGGAAGAUAAGCCCAUUCCAAAAGAAUGGCUUGUAUGUAUCCAUGAAUUAUUAAUGCAAAUUUUACAGAUUGUAAGUUGGAUACAUUGAUAAUACACUGCACAUAUUAAAGCCCCAUAAGAACAGAAUAUGGGUAUAGCAGUGAUCAAUAUGAUGCACGCCUGUUGCGUAGCAAAUAAUGUGGAUUGAAGUCCCGAAAGGACAAUCCUUUGACAUGUCAAUAUUGAUAUUAUGCACGCCUAAUGCGUAGCAAAUUAUAUGGGUUAAAGUCCCAUAAUAUGGGUUAAAGUCCCAGAAAUUAAUUGACA